rnacentral:rRNA from 1 species
UACAGAGGUCUCAAGCGUUGUUCGGAUUCAUUGGGCGUAAAGGGUGCGUAGGCGGCGCGGUAAGUCGGGGUGUGAAAUUUUCGAGGCUUAACUUCGAAACUGCAUUCGAUACUGCCGUGCUAGAGGACUGGAGAGGAGACUGGAAUUUACGGUGUAGCGGUGAAAUGCGUAGAUAUCGUAAGGAAGACCAGUGGCGAAGGCGGGUCUCUGGACAGUUCCUGACGCUGAGGCACGAAGGCCAGGGGAGCAAACGGGG